GUAUUAAGAUGAAUGAGUUGAAGGGGCAAAACGUGCCAACACUUAUUUCUUCAUCUUAAAUCUCAUCUAACCUUUGGGAAAUUAUAUUGGAGGAGCAAAGGUUACAGCAACUAUACCUUACGUGAAAAGCAUCACUUUUGGAUACAUUUUGAGAGCUAAUUACGUUCAGCAAACCUCCACUUGAGGGAGACUAUUCUUUUUCACUUUGGGAUGAAGCAGCAAAAAUGUGAUUUCCAAGUGACUUUUGUAGCACGUCACUUGCAAUUGCAAAGAAUGAAAGUAUAAUUCUUUCCAAGGACGACAUACGGGUUUAGCAUACCGCUUUGAUCUCAUUGUUCCUUUUUGUCGCAUUAUUAAUUCGGGCUUUCUUCAAAGUGAAGUAAGGUGGAAGAAGAGUAGUUGUUGGCAUAUGAGAUUGGUAAAGCUCGAGACCUAAGUUAUGGUUAAAUUGACAAGCGACAAGGUACAGAUACUCGAGUUGGUGACCCUCCAGCUUAGGACUACUACUCAGCUGUCUUGGAGAGCUCCAUUGCUUCGGAGCCUAGACUUUUGGUGCAGAUCUUUUGAUGUGUAUAUAUAUGGUUAUGCAGGGGUACGGCGGGGCCCUGUCCCGUCAUAUUUCACUAUCGAUACUCUUAGAGGUCUGUAGACAUAUGUGUGGGUUGUGUAUAAGUUUGGUUCAGCUGUGUCUAUACGAUGUGCUAUGGAUAUGUUCGUCUGUAGUGGCAGCCUUGUCGGCUUACGUAUAGUAUUGACAUGUAGUGGCAGCCUUGUCGGCUUGUGUAUCAUAUUAUGUUUUGAUUAGUUGUGAUUCCUCAGGAGACAGGUUAUAUGGAUAUAUAUAU